UACGGAGGGGGCUAGCGUUGUUCGGAUUGACUGGGCGUAAAGGGCGCGUAGGCGGUUCGUACAGUCAGACGUGAAAUUCCUGGGCUCAACCUGGGGGCUGCGUUUGAUACGUGCGGACUUGAGUGCGGAAGAGGGUCGUGGAAUUCCCAGUGUAGAGGUGAAAUUCGUAGAUAUUGGGAAGAACACCGGUGGCGAAGGCGGCGACCUGGUCCGAUACUGACGCUGAGGCGCGAAAGCGUGGGGAGCAAACAGG
rnacentral:rRNA from 1 species